GUCAGGGUUCUACAUGACUUCUUUUGCUGCAACAAUCUUCAUUGGUGCUCUUGUAACUGUUGGAGUUGUAUUCAUCACCCUGCUGAUUGCUUUAUCAGUAAUGUUGCAGUCCUGUGAGAAUAGAAGUAAAGGUGUUAUUGAGAUUCAAAAACCCAAUGAUGAUUACAAUUACUGCAAGAUUUUUGCUCUGCAUGCAGAGCUCAACAACUUGGGACCGGGGGACUUCCCUUCAAUUUGCAGGAGUCUUGCUGUUCAGCACAUCAAAGAAGGUCAAUAUGAGAGAGAAUUAAACAG
rnacentral:misc_RNA from 1 species